GGAAAGUAUUCAGAGAUGUGGACAUGGUUACAAGUACAAACAAAAAAUGACCUAAAGAAAGAGAAGAGUGGUGGAGAGGAGUGGACUGCAACACCAGAGAGAGGGGAAGAGUUGGGGAAGAUGAAGAGAGUGAAAAGUGGCCUGCCACAGCUGGUUCUGCCAGCUCAUGUACUGCUGAGAAAUCUACCUUGUCUUGAUUACAUCCAAAGCGGAAUGGCACCUGUGUUGUUUAAUCCCAUGUGUACCAGGAGCGCAGUACCUCUGACAAACAUCAAGUGAAGGCAGCUGCCUUCGUUCUUCCCAGCUCUCAGUAUGCAAUUGUGAAGACUUCCUGAGUAAUGCAAAUUUAUAAAGUGGGUGUAAAUUAAACGAUUACAAAUUCAAGUUGUUUCAGUCAGCUGAGUGAU